rnacentral:ncRNA from 2 species
CCAGAUUUUCGGUAGACGUGUAUGACGAUUUAUCGUCCGGGAAGGAGGUGUGAAUCCUCCGCAGCCCCCGCUGCUGUGAUGCUGACGACUCUGUAUAACCACUGAUCUCUUGGAUUGGGAAGGGCAGAGAAGGAUGACGCUAAGCCAGAAGACCGACACGGAUACAACAGCUUCA